GUUGACCUCGGAUCAGGUAGGAAUACCCGCUGAACUUAAGCAUAUCAAUAAGCGGAGGAAAAGAAACCAACAGGGAUUGCCCCAGUAACGGCGAGUGAAGCGGCAACAGCUCAAAUUUGAAAUCUGGCUUUCGGGCCCGAGUUGUAAUUUGUAGAGGAUGCUUUUGGCGCGGUGCCUUCCGAGUUCCCUGGAACGGGACGCCACAGAGGGUGAGAGCCCCCUACGGUCGGACACCAAGCCUCUGUAAAGCUCCUUCGACGAGUCGAGUAGUUUGGGAAUGCUGCUCUAAAUGGGAGGUAUAUCUCUUCUAAAGCUAAAUAUAGGCCAGAGACCGAUAGCGCACAAGUAGAGUGAUCGAAAGAUGAAAAGCACUUUGAAAAGAGGGUUAAAAAGUACGUGAAAUUGUUGAAAGGGAAGGGCUUGUGACCAGACUUGUGCCGGGUUGAUCAUCCGCGGUUCUCCCGCGGUGCACUCUCCCCGGUCCAGGCCAGCGUCGGUUCUGGGAGGGGGACAAAAGCUUGGGGAACGUGGCUCCUCCGGGAGUGUUAUAGCCCCUCGCCCAAUGCCCCUGCCGGGACCGAGGUCGCGCUCUGCAAGAC
rnacentral:rRNA from 1 species